ensembl:lncRNA
CUACCAUUCAAAUAACACAAGACCAAUCAACACACAAUGCAGACUCCUUUUUGACAUGGGAGUUUUCACUGUGUACAAUGUAAAGAUAUUUGGCACCGGGACAAGACUUUAUGUGACAGACCAGGAAGUCCAAAAACCCAUCGUGUCGAUCUACCCACUGUCUAACCCUGAGCCAAUGGGAAACACCACCCUGCUAUGUUUGGCUAAGGACAUGUUCCCAGACUUAGUCAAGAUCUCAUGGAAGAUGAGGAAUGAGAAUGGCACAGCAGAAGAGAUUCCUCAAGAAGAGAAGGAACAGCUGGAACAGAUGGAACAGAUGGAUGAAGGACAGACGACCAGUAUGAUCAUCAUUGAUGGAGAGAAGGCCGAUGUUAAUAAAUACAUCUGUUGGGUGGAGCAUGAAGUAUGCAAUAUACCUGACACAAGAACAGAAACAGGACAGAAUCUGUACCAGGACCAGAUAUCAGAGACCAGGAAGGAGGGACAGAGUGUCUCAUUCAAAUGCAGAUUUACUGGAUGUAGCACAGUCCACUGGUAUCAGUGUAGAGAGGGUGAACCCUUCACCUGGAUUCUUUCGGUUCAUGAUCAAGUUAGCUCAGACACCACUCAUCCUCAAAGAGCGGAUUUCACUGCUACGAAGCAGUCUGACUUUACUAAUCUGAAUAUCCAGUCAGUUCAUGUUUCCCAUUCUGCCACCUACUACUGUACCUGUUAUCAAAGUGGAUCCCACAGUGAGAACUGAUACACACAGCCUGUACUAAAACUCUGUGGUUUUAAGCAAGAUGUGAAUUAUUUACAGGAAGUGACAAUCAGAGAACUGUUUGAGAUAACACACCCCAGCUAAUAUUACCUCACAUCCACCUAGUCAACCAUAUAACCAAUCAAACCUUAUUAUUUGCAACUAAAUAGUAAAUAAAAGUGCUGGGAGUCUACUCACUGGCAGUUACAUUAAGCCUCUUAGCCACAACCGCUUUGCCGAUCGGUGCCAACCACCUACUCUUCUCCUGCACACUGGACAGUGUUUAUGGCUAUCCACGCACGAUAUCAAACUCAGUCUCCCCUGCAAAAACCUCAUGCUAUCCUUCAUCGGCCCUUUUAAAAUCCUACAUCGUCUCAACCCAGUCACCUAAAGGCUCAAACUACCACGCCAUUAUCGCAUUUACUCCUCCUUCCAUGUGUACUUACUAAAACCGGGGGGGGGGGGGUACUGUAAGGUCCAGUCAGAGACCACGUGCUACUCUCGCACAACCUUCAAUCACACACACAAACUCCAUCUCCUGAACAUCACUCAUGCCCUAGAUCCCAAUCACCAGAAUACUAGUCACCUUCCCAUUACGUCUCACUAUUUAGUUCUCCCUCAGUUCAUCACUCUUUGUGAGGUAUUGUUUGCAUUCUGUAACACACUGUACUAAGACUGCUGUUUGCUUAGCAACUUAUAUUAUACUUCUCAGUCUACCCAUGUUUUGACCAGUUUCAUCUGAAACCAGCGAGUUUUAUGAUUCCUGCCCAGACCUUCUGUUCUUCUGCCAGUGUAUGUUUGGAUACCUG